GAUGAACGCUGGCGGCGUGCCUAAUACAUGCAAGUCGAGCGAACAGACGAGGAGCUUGCUCCUCUGACGUUAGCGGCGGACGGGUGAGUAACACGUGGAUAACCUACCUAUAAGACUGGGAUAACUUCGGGAAACCGGAGCUAAUACCGGAUAAUAUAUUGAACCGCAUGGUUCAAUAGUGAAAGACGGUUUUGCUGUCACUUAUAGAUGGAUCCGCGCCGCAUUAGCUAGUUGGUAAGGUAACGGCUUACCAAGGCAACGAUGCGUAGCCGACCUGAGAGGGUGAUCGGCCACACUGGAACUGAGACACGGUCCAGACUCCUACGGGAGGCAGCAGUAGGAAAUCUUCCGCAAUGGGCGAAAGCUUGACGGAGCAACGCCGCGUGAGUGAUGAAGGUCUUCGGAUCGUAAAACUCUGUUAUUAGAGAAGAACAAAUGUGUAAGUAACUAUGCACGUCUUGACGGUACCUAAGCAGAAAGCCACGGCUAACUACGU
rnacentral:rRNA from 1 species